CUCCUCUCCCAGCACCUGCGCGCCCUCACUGGGCUUCCAGGGGGCGGGGGAAAAGCUUUCUCACCGCCCUACGGGUUCCUCCUUUUCUGACCUGGGGAGGCGCAGGGCUGGGAACGGGGCUGCGUUGAAGCUUCUGGUCUUCCCGGCUGCCUGGGCAGCCUGUUUGGCGCCCAGGAAGUUACAGUACUUGCAGAGGAAGCACUAGGGAAUACCGGGGCCUCACUCCGGACCCCCAAGUCCAAACCAGCACCACAGAGCGGAAGCCAGUUGUAACUGGGAAAAAGCAAAGCUGCUAAGAUGGAGUUUCCCAGGCUGGAGUGCAGUGGCAAGAUCUCAGCUUACUUCAACCUCCAUCUCCUGGGUUCAAGUGAUUCUCCUGCCUCAGCCUCCCAAGUAGCUGGGAUUACAGGGAAUAACAGACAAAUUGGAAAUCUCAGAGGCCUUCCCAGAUCUGGGUGAUCAGAAGCUGACGUGGCAGAUGAGCAUCUAAGAUGGAGUUGCUUCAGCCUGCACAGGGUAUAUACGCAGAAGUGGAGUUUCUGAACCUUGUGGUAAUUCACAUUUUAAUUGAUUGAUUUUCAUAUGCUAUACCAUCCUUGUAUUCCUGGAAUAAAUUCCAUUUUCUCGUGGGGUAUUAUCCUUUCAAUAUUGUGUUGAAUUUUGUUUGUUAGUAUUCAUUUUUGAGUAUUUUUUACGCUGAUAUUUAUAAGGGUUAUUGGUCAGUAGUUUUCUUGUAUUGUCUUUGUCUGGCUUUGACUUUAAGGGUAAUGCUAGUCUCCCAGAAUGAUUUGGGAAGUGUUCUCUCACCUUCAAUGUUUAGCUUAUCCAAUUUGUUGGGAUAAUAGUUGGUCAUAGUACUCUGCUAUAAAUCCUCUUAUUUUUGUAAAAUCAGUUCUUAUGU